rnacentral:rRNA from 1 species
GCCCCAACGAUUCAGCGUUGGGGACAGUGAUGGCAGACGGAACUUUUGCAGCGUUGCUGGUGUUGGCGGGACUUGCCGACAUGAGCUUCAACCAUUGCGGCACGGACACCGGGUGUCUGGGCGUCAGCGAAGAUACACCGCGGCUUUCGUUCGCGAUCGGCUCCUGGGUCGAUCGGAAUGCGGAUGAACAGCUCGAGGCGUAUCUCCGGUAUGACUUCGCCCGUCACGAGGGGCCGUUCGGCUUCGCGGCCGGCGCGUCGGUUGCCGAAGAGGGUGAGGUUUGGGCCGGGUUCGGCGCAACCUACGAUCUCGAGAUCGGCGACAGCGGGUUCUUUACCGAGUUGCACUUCAUGCCGGGCCUUUACGCCGAUAAUGGCGGGUUCGACCUGGGCGGUGCGGUGAUUUUCCGUUCGGGGAUCGAAUUCGGCUACGAGGCCGCCAACGGCUGGCGGUUCGGGGUCGGGUAUGAUCACCGGUCGAACGGCGGUCUUUACGACCAGAACCCCGGGGUCGAAACCGUGCAUCUGAGGAUGUCGGUCGCGUUCUAGCGGUUGUCAUAAAUGUCCAGUCUGGUGACGGCGUACCUUUUGUAUAAUGGGUCAUCGACUUGGUCUCACGAGCAAGCUUAAGCCGAUAGGUGUAGGCGCAGCGAAAGCGAGUCUGAAUAGGGCGUCGAGUUCGUGGGAUCAGACCCGAAACCGAGUGAUCUAGGCAUGACCAGGAUGAAGGUAAGGUAACACUUACUGGAGGUCCGAACCCACACCUGUUGAAAAAGGUCGGGAUGAGUUGUGCCUAGGGGUGAAAGGCCAAUCAAACUCGGAGAUAGCUGGUUCUCCGCGAAAUCUAUUUAGGUAGAGCGUCAUCCGAAUACCCCGGGGGGUAGAGCACUGGAUGGGUAAUGGGGCCCCACAGGCUUACUGAUCCUAACCAAACUCCGAAUACCCGGGAGUACUAGAUGGCAGACACACGGCGGGUGCUAACGCCCGUCGUGGAGAGGGAAACAACCCUGACCUCCAGCUAAGGCCCCUAAUUCAUGGCUAAGUGGGAAAGCAGGUGGGACGACCAAAACAACCAGGAGGUUGGCUUAGAAGCAGCCAUCCUUUAAAGAUAGCGUAACAGCUCACUGGUCUAAAUAAGUUGUCCUGCGGCGAAGAUGUAACGGGGCUCAAGCCAUGAGCCGAAGCUGAGGAUGCCGUAAGGCAUGGUAGCGGAGCGUAGUGUGAUAUAACUCCAUGUCUCUUUAUUGCCUUCGGGCAAUGCGGAGACGCGGGGUUUUCUGUGAAGCCGGGGCGUGAGCCAUCCGGUGGAGAGAUCACUAGCGAGAAUGAUGACAUGAGUAGCGACAAACAGGGUGAGAGACCCUGUCGCCGAAAGUCCAAGGGUUCCUGCUUAAAGCUAAUCUGAGCAGGGUAAGCCGACCCCUAAGGCGAGGCCGAAAGGCGUAGUCGAUGGGAACCAGGUUAAUAUUCCUGGGCCAGGAGGAUGUGACGGAUCUCGAAGGUUGUUCUUCCUUAUCGGAUUGGGAGGGCCGCUUAGAGGUUCCUGGAAAUAGCCCUCCGUUAGAUCGUACCCUAAACCGACACAGGUGGACUGGUAGAGAAUACCAAGGCGCUUGAGAGAACGAUGUUGAAGGAACUCGGCAAAAUACCUCCGUAAGUUCGCGAGAAGGAGGCCCGAGUUUUAGGCAACUAGAACUUGGGGGCACAAACCAGGGGGUGGCGACUGUUUACUAAAAACACAGGGCUCUGCGAAGUCGCAAGACGACGUAUAGGGUCUGACGCCUGCCCGGUGCCGGAAGGUUAAAAGGAGGGGUGAGAGCUCCGAAUUGAAGCCCCGGUAAACGGCGGCCGUAACUAUAACGGUCCUAAGGUAGCGAAAUUCCUUGUCGGGUAAGUUCCGACCUGCACGAAUGGCGUAACGACUUCCCCGCUGUCUCCAACAUCGACUCAGCGAAAUUGAAUUGCCUGUCAAGAUGCAGGCUUCCCGCGGUUAGACGGAAAGACCCCGUGCACCUUUACUACAGCUUCGCACUGGCAACAGGACUGGGAUGUGCAGGAUAGGUGGUAGACUUUGAAGCCGGAACGCCAGUUUCGGUGGAGUCAUCCUUGAGAUACCACCCUUCGCAUUCUUGUUGUCUAACCGCGGUCCGUUAUCCGGAUCCGGGACCAUGCGUGGUGGGUAGUUUGACUGGGGCGGUCGCCUCCCAAAGAGUAACGGAGGCGUGCGAAGGUUGGCUCAGAGCGGUCGGACAUCGCUCGUUGAGUGCAAUGGCAGAAGCCAGCCUGACUGCGAGACUGACAAGUCGAGCAGAGUCGAAAGACGGCCAUAGUGAUCCGGUGGUCCCGCGUGGAAGGGCCAUCGCUCAACGGAUAAAAGGUACGCCGGGGAUAACAGGCUGAUGGUGCCCAA